rnacentral:rRNA from 1 species
GAUGAACGCUGGCGGCGUGCCUAAUACAUGCAAGUCGAGCGAACAGACGAGGAGCUUGCUCCUCUGACGUUAGCGGCGGACGGGUGAGAAACACGUGGAUAACCUACCUAUAAGACUGGGAUCACUUCGGGAAACCGGAGCUAAUACCGGAUAAUAUAUUGAACCGCAUGGUUCAAUAGUGAAAGUCGGUUUUGCUGUCACUUAUAGAUGGAUCCGCGCCGCAUUAGCUAGUUGGUAAGGUAACGGCUUACCAAGGCGACGAUGCGUAGGCGACCUGAGAGGGUGAUCGGCCACACGGGAACUGGGACGCGGUCCAGACUCCUACGGGAGGCAGCAGUAGGGAAUCUUCCGCAAGGGGCGACAGCCUGACGUAGCAACGCCGCGUGAGUGAUGAAGGUCUUCGGAUCGUAAAACUCUGUUAUUAGGGAAGAACAAAUGUGUAAGUAACUAUGCACGUCUUGACGGUACCUGAUCAGAAAGCCACGGCUAACUACGUG